rnacentral:rRNA from 1 species
GACGAACCGUGCGAACGUUAUUCGGAAUCACUGGGCUUAAAGGGCGCGUAGGCGGGCAGGCAAGUCGAAGGUGAAAUCCCACGGCUCAACCGUGGAAGUGCCCCCGAUACUGCCUGUCUGGAGGGAGAUAGGGGCGUGCGGAACUUCCGGUGGGAGCGGUGAAAUGCGUAGAUAUCGGAAGGAACACCGGUGGCGAAAGCGGCGCGCUGGAUCUCUUCUGACGCUGAGGCGCGAAAGCCAGGGGAGCGGAACGGG